rnacentral:rRNA from 1 species
AUUGAACGCUAGCGGGAUGCUUUACACAUGCAAGUCGAACGGAGUGGCGGACGGGUGAGUAAUAUAUCGGAACGUGCCCAGUAGCGGGGGAUAACUACUCGAAAGAGUGGCUAAUACCGCAUACUAUUGGAGCGGCCGAUAUCGGAUUAGCUAGUUGGUGGGGUAAAGGCUCACCAAGGCAACAAUCCGUAGCUGGUUUGAGAGGAGGACCAUCCAUACUGGGACGAAGCCACGGCCCAGACCCUUACGGGAGGCGGCAGUGGGGAAUAUUGGACAAUGGGGGAAACCCGGACGCAGCCAUCCCGUGGAUAGGGAGAGUGCCUUGGGGGUGUAAGGGAGUUUGAGAGGGGAGGCUUUACCUGCAGAAGGAGCGCCGGCUAGCUUCGUGCCAGCAGCCGCGGUAAUAC